GUUCUUGCUACGGCAGAACAUAUACUAAAAUUGGAACGAUACAGAGAAGAUUAGCAUGGCCCCUGCGCAAGGAUGACACGCAAAAUCGUNUUUUCCAGCUGAAAAUAUCU
rfam:Glossina pallidipes unplaced genomic scaffold Scaffold153, whole genome shotgun sequence.